GGGGGUGAAAGGAAUCGACGGAAAGCAUGCACUUUUAAAAAUCGGUAGAGCGGACCUGUCCGUUAAACAGAAAAAUCAACAGCAAAGAAUGAUAUUUUUGCUGAUCUUAGAGCGUUCGCUAGAGAGCAAUUGGAAGGCGUAAUUGCUGCCCAAUAUGCUCAAAAGCAGGCCUUCGUUUACGCAGGCUAAACUUUGAGAUCCUCUGAUUAAGUUUCCCUUAGUUCAACUUAAUUAAGAGAUAAACCAAUUAAGGUGAGGCGAAAUUCGUGUUUACGAUUGACGAAUUAGUCAAAAAAACAUCAAUCGUCGUUCAUUUGACAUUUGAUUAUUUGUCAUUUGAAUUUAAUUUAAAUAAUCUAUCUCUACCUAAACAUUUUUAAAAUGGCCCUUCCGGACCCGGGUUCAAUUCCCGGCACCUCCACCA
rnacentral:tmRNA from 2 species